rnacentral:rRNA from 1 species
GCUAGUAAUCGCAGAUCAGCAUGCUGCGGUGAAUACGUUCCCGGGCCUUGUACACACCGCCCGUCACACCAUGGGAGUCGGUAACACCCAAAGUUGGUAGCUUAACCGCAAGGAGGGCGCCGCCUAAGGUGGGAUUGAUGACUGGGGUGAAGUCGUAACAAGGUAGC